GGGCUUAUAGCUCAGUGGACUAGAGCACGUGGCUACGAACCACGGUGUCGGGGGUUCGAAUCCCUCUUUGCCCG
rnacentral:tRNA from 1 species